GGGAGGGCCUUUCACCAAGGCCCGCGCCCCGCGUGCCCGCACGGAACCUCGCCUACCUCAGGUACUUCACCGCUGAACUCGCCAUGACUUCUGGGUCCCUGAGGUCACCCGAGAUCAGCCGCUGCGGCCCCCACCAGAUGAGAAAACUGAGGCUCAAAGAUGUUGAAUGACAUGUCUAAUGAUACAGUGAUAGCUGUCGGUGGAGCCAGGAUCAGAGCACCUUGACCUAGAGUCUGCAGUCUUAAGCCUUAUCCUAUGCUGAAAUGCCUCUCCAAAUGCAGAACUGUGUAAUUAAAAGGUUGUCAACUGCUGGCUUCAUUCUGAUGAGAUUUGGUGAACCUGCACCCUAAUCAAGACAUCUUGAAGGCCCAACAAGAUAAGAAGCUCCACUUAGAUAAGGAAGAUUAACAGCUGCGUCAUCUGCACCUAGUUCUGUGCCUGGAACAUAGUAGGUCCUCUACAAAUAUUUUAAUGAAUCCUCAAAAUGUCAUUGUGAAGUAAUUCACAGUACAGUAGAAGUUCUCUUAUCUGACAUGAUCAGGAGUGAACUAUUUUAUUUCAACUUAAAACAAAAAAUACAUUCAUUUGCUAUCUGUCAAAGUGUGACCAGGGUCCCGUCUUUUUUUGUUUGUUUGUUUUAUGUACACAUAUAUUUCUUUCACAUUCUUUUUGUUAAAAGUUAUUAUAAGAUAUUGAAUAUAGUUCCCUGUGCUAUACAGUAGAAAUCUGAAUUUUAAAUGUUUUUAUACAUAGUGGUUAACAUUUGCAAAUCUCAAACACCCAAAUUUAUCCUUUCCCACCCUUUUGCUGAUAACCAUAACCAUACUGUAUCUGCAAGUCUGUUUCUGUUUUAUAGAUGAGUUCAUUAGUGUCCUCUUUUUUCUUUACUUUUUCUUUCUUUUCUUUUUUUUUUUAAGAUUCCAUAUAUGAGUGAAAUCAUAUGGUAUUUUUCUUUCUCUUUCUGGCUUACAUCACUUAGAAUGACAAUCUCCAGGUCCAUUCAUGUUGCUGCAAAUGGCAUUGUUUUGUUCUUUUGUUCUUUUUUUUUUUUUAAUCACUGAGUAGUAUUCCACUGUAUGUAUACGCACCAUGACUUCUUUAUCCAGUCAUCUGUCAGUGGACAUUUAGGUUCCUUCCAUGUCUUGGCUAUUGUAAAUAGUGCUGCUGUGAACAUUGGGGUGUAUGUAUCUUUUUGAACUGGAGUUUUCUCCAGAUAUAUGCCCAGGAGUGGGGUUGCUGGAUCAUAUGGUAAGUCUAUUCUUAGUCUUUUGAGAAAUCUCCAUACUGUUUUCCAUAAUGGCUGCACCAGACUACAUUCCCACCAGCAGUGUUAGGAGGGUUCCCUUUUCUCCACACCCUCUCCAGCAUUUAUCUUUUGUGGACUUUUUAACGAUGGCCAUUCUGACAGACUAGGUUUUUUAUUUUGAUGACUUCCAGUGUCUCCAUUUCUUCUUAUGGAUCACACUUCUGGUGUCAAGUUUUAAAAUCUCUGUGCCUGACCCUAGAUCACCAAUUUUUCUCUAAGAAUUUUUCCCCCUGGAAUAUGUUCUAAUGCUACAUUUUACAUUGAAGUGUGUGAUCCAUUUCAAAUUCAUGUUUAUAUGACAUAUAAGGUUUAAGUGUUUAGGCUAAAUGUUGUUUGUUUGUUUUCUUAUUUUCGUGUUUUGCUGUGGAUGUCAGUUUGCCCUACUCCCAUUUCAUAAAGAAACCGUCUUUCCUCUAGUGAAUUGCUUUUGCACUUUUGCCAAAAAUCAGUUGGGCUUGGGCAAAUUUGUUUGAAUCUCUGCUGUGUUUCAUUGAACAACGUGUCUAACAUCACACAGUCUCUAUCAGCUCUAUAAAUAAGCAUUAGAUUAGGGGCAACAUUUCUUUUGGUUGUUGGAAUUGUAGUAGCAAUUCUAAUUCCUUUGCCUGUCCACGUAUCUUUUUAAGGACAAAUACAUGUACUUUCAUAUAUGUGUAUAUCAAAGUUAAGUUUUGCACCUUUUAAAAAAAAUUCAUGUAAGAGUUCACCAUCAACAUUUACCGCAUUUCAGGCACAAUUACACACGCACUCUCUCAUACUGUUGCAUUUUACAGAUGCGCUGGAAGUUUAUUUAGUGAAUGGCUAUUAGUCACCCCCAAUUUUUUAUUAUAGGUAAGUAAUGCUGAAAUGAAUAUUCUUAUCAUUCCAUGUGCAUUGGCACCAAUGUUCCCCACGCCCAUUUUUUUGUCUUUGAACUUUGUUGUGUUCUAAGCAGAAACGGAUUUUGUUUAAACUUU